GACAGCAGUCGCCGCGGUAAUACGAAGGGGGCUAGCGUUGUCCGGAAUUAUUGGGCGUAAAGGGCUCGCAGGCGGUUUCUUAAGUCUGAUGUGAAAGCCCCCGGCUCAACCGGGGAGGGUCAUUGGAAACUGGGAAACUUGAGUGCAGAAGAGGAGAGUGGAAUUCCACGUGUAGCGGUGAAAUGCGUAGAGAUGUGGAGGAACACCAGUGGCGAAGGCGACUCUCUGGUCUGUAACUGACGCUGAGGAGCGAAAGCGUGGGGAGCGAACAGGAUUAGAUACCCCCGUAGUCCCUGUCUCUUAUAC
rnacentral:rRNA from 1 species